rnacentral:misc_RNA from 1 species
AAGGAUCAUUAACAAAUCGUGGGGUUAGGGGAGACCUUAACUCUUACAUGAACCCAAGGGCUGUAAAAGGCUCGAGGUAGCUGGCGUGGCUGUCGUAGGCCGUGUCGGCUUUGUGUGUCUCGAGUGUGUGAGUGAGUGAGUGAGUGAAGUAUCUCUUGCGAGCGAGCUCUGUACUCGGGUCACAACAACAACAACAUACACCGUUUAUUUACACGUUUGACUAAGUUUUUAAACCAAAAAUUUAUACAACUUUUAACAAUGGAUCUCUUGGCUCUU